UACGUAGGUGGCAAGCGUUGUCCGGAAUUAUUGGGCGUAAAGCGCGCGCAGGCGGUCCUUUAAGUCUGAUGUGAAAGCCCACGGCUCAACCGUGGAGGGUCAUUGGAAACUGGGGGACUUGAGUGCAGGAGAGGAAAGCGGAAUUCCACGUGUAGCGGUGAAAUGCGUAGAGAUGUGGAGGAACACCAGUGGCGAAGGCGGCUUUCUGGUCUGUAACUGACGCUGAGGCGCGAAAGCGUGGGGAGCAAACAGG
rnacentral:rRNA from 1 species